AUUCAACAAGCCACGGGUGAGUAAUGCCUAGGAAUCUGCCUGGUAGUGGGGGAUAACGUUCCGAAAGGAACGCUAAUACCGCAUACGUCCUACGGGAGAAAGCAGGGGACCUUCGGGCCUUGCGCUAUCAGAUGAGCCUAGGUCGGAUUAGCUAGUUGGUGAGGUAAUGGCUCACCAAGGCGACGAUCCGUAACUGGUCUGAGAGGAUGAUCAGUCACACUGGAACUGAGACACGGUCCAGACUCCUACGGGAGGCAGCAGUGGGGAAUAUUGGACAAUGGGCGAAAGCCUGAUCCAGCCAUGCCGCGUGUGUGAAGAA
rnacentral:rRNA from 1 species